rnacentral:rRNA from 1 species
UACGUAGGGGGCAAGCGUUGUCCGGAAUUAUUGGGCGUAAAGAGCGUGUAGGCGGCCAGAUAAGUCCGCUGUGAAAUCUCGAGGCUCAACUUCGAGCUGUCGGUGGAAACUAUCUGGCUAGAGUCCGGAAGAGGAGAAUGGAAUUCCUGGUGUAGCGGUGAAAUGCGCAGAUAUCGGGAGGAACACCGGUGGCGAAGGCGGUUCUCUGGGCCUGUACUGACGCUGAGGAGCGAAAGCGUGGGGAGCGAACAGG